CUCCUCUCAGAAUCACACCUGGAGAGUUUCCAGGACUCUAUCAGUCUCGGCUACAGGAGGGAGAGUCAAGCAGAGGCCUGUCCAUUCCAUUCCUAGCUUGGGCAGUGGCUAGCGAGUGGAAAGUCAUCUGCUACAAGU